UACGGGGGGGGCGAGCGUUGUUCGGAAUUACUGGGCGUAAAGCGUGCGUAGGUGGUGAGUUAAGUCUGUCGUGAAAGCCCCGGGCUCAACCUGGGAAUGGCGAUGGAUACUGGCUCGCUAGAGUGCGGUAGAGGAGAGUGGAAUUCCCGGUGUAGCAGUGAAAUGCGUAGAUAUCGAGAGGAACACCUGCGGCGAAGGCGGGUUGCUGGGCUGACACUGACGCUGAUGCGCGAAAGCCAGGGGAGCGAACGGG
rnacentral:rRNA from 1 species